GGGGUUGUGGCUCAGUGGUAGAGUGCUAGCCUAGCACGCAUGAGGCCCUGGGUUUGAUCCUCAGCACCA
rfam:Ictidomys tridecemlineatus contig044486, whole genome shotgun sequence.